UACGUAGGGUGCAAGCGUUAAUCGGAAUUACUGGGCGUAAAGCGUGCGCAGGCGGUUGUGUAAGACAGAUGUGAAAUCCCCGGGCUCAACCUGGGAACUGCAUUUGUGACUGCAUCGCUGGAGUGCGGCAGAGGGGGAUGGAAUUCCGCGUGUAGCAGUGAAAUGCGUAGAUAUGCGGAGGAACACCGAUGGCGAAGGCAAUCCCCUGGGCCUGCACUGACGCUCAUGCACGAAAGCGUGGGGAGCAAACAGG
rnacentral:rRNA from 1 species